rnacentral:rRNA from 1 species
GACGAACGCUGGCGGCGUGCUUAACACAUGCAAGUCGAGCGAUGAGAUCCCUUCGGGGAAGGAUUAGCGGCGAACGGGUGAGGAACACGUGAAGAAUCUGCCUUCAACUCUGGGAUAACACCGGGAAACCGGUGCUAAUACCGGAUAUGAGCCUUGAUCGCAUGAUCGGGGCUGGAAAGUUUUUCGGUUGAAGAUGACUUCGCGGCCUAUCAGCUUGUUGGUGAGGUAAUGGCUCACCAAGGCGACGACGGGUAGCCGGCCUGAGAGGGCGACCGGCCACACUGGGACUGAGACACGGCCCAGACUCCUACGGGAGGCAGCAGUGGGGAAUAUUGGGCAAUGGACGAAAGUCUGACCCAGCGACGCCGCGUGAGGGAUGAAGGCCUUCGGGUUGUAAACCUCUUUCAGCAGGGAAGAAGCGAAAGUGACGGUACCUGCAGAAGAAGCACCGGCUAACUAUGUGCCAGCAGCCGCGGUAAUACAUAGGGUGCAAGCGUUGUCCGGAAUUAUUGGGCGUAAAGAGCUCGUAGGUGGUUAGUUACGUCGGAUGUGAAAAUCUAGGGCUCAACCCUAGACCUGCAUCCGAUACGGGCUAGCUUGAGUUUGGUAGGGGAGACUGGAAUUCCUGGUGUAGCGGUGGAAUGCGCAGAUAUCAGGAGGAACACCAAUGGCGAAGGCAGGUCUCUGGGCCAAUACUGACACUGAGGAGCGAAAGUGUGGGGAGCGAACAGGAUUAGAUACCCUGGUAGUCCACACAGUAAACGAUGGGCACUAGUUGUGGGAACCUUCCACGGUUUCUGCGACGCAGCUAACGCAUUAAGUGCCCCGCCUGGGGAGUACGAUCGCAAGAUUAAAACUCAAAGGAAUUGACGGGGCCCCGCA